rnacentral:rRNA from 1 species
GAUGAACGCUGGCGGCGUGCCUAAUACAUGCAAGUCGAGCGAACAGAUGAGGAGCUUGCUCCUCUGACGUUAGCGGCGGACGGGUGAGUAACACGUGGAUAACCUACCUAUAAGACUGGGAUAACUUCGGGAAACCGGAGCUAAUACCGGAUAAUAUAUAGAACCGCAUGGUUCAAUAGUGAAAGACGGUUUUGCUGUCACUUAUAGAUGGAUCCGCGCCGCAUUAGCUAGUUGGUAAGGUAACGGCUUACCAAGGCGACGAUGCGUAGCCGACCUGAGAGGGUGAUCGGCCACACGGGAACUGAGCCACGGUCCAGACUCCGACGGGAGGCAGCAGUAGGGAAUCUUCCGAAAGGGGCGAAAGCCUGACGGAGCAACGCCGCGUGAGUGAUGAAGGUCUUCGGAUCGUAAAACGCUGUUAUUAGGGAAGAACAAAUGUGUAAGUAACGAUGCACGUCUUGACGGUACCUAAGCAGAAAGCCACGGCUAACUACGU